UGCAGUCGAGGGGUAUAGGUUUUCGGACCUAGAGACCGGCGCACGGGUGCGUAACGCGUAUGCAAUCUACCUUUUACAGAGGGAUAGCCCAGAGAAAUUUGGAUUAAUACCUCAUAGUAUUAUUGAAUGGCAUCAUUUAAUAAUUAAAGUCACAACGGUAAAAGAUGAGCAUGCGUCCCAUUAGCUUGUUGGUAAGGUAACGGCUUACCAAGGCAACGAUGGGUAGGGGUCCUGAGAGGGAGAUCCCCCACACUGGUACUGAGACACGGACCAGACUCCUACGGGAGGCAGCAGUGAGGAAUAUUGGUCAAUGGGCGCAAGCCUGAACCAGCCAUGCCGCGUGCAGGAUGACGGUCCUAUGGAUUGUAAACUGCUUUUGUACAGGAAGAAACAGUUCUACGUGUAGAACCUUGACGGUACUGUAAGAAUAAGGAUCGGCUAACUCCGUGCCAGCAGCCGCGGUAAUACGGAGGAUCCAAGCGUUAUCCGGAAUCAUUGGGUUUAAAGGGUCCGUAGGCGGUUUUGUAAGUCAGUGGUGAAAGCCCAUCGCUCAACGGUGGAACGGCCAUUGAUACUGCAAGACUUGAAUUAUUAGGAAGUAACUAGAAUAUGUAGUGUAGCGGUGAAAUGCUUAGAGAUUACAUGGAAUACCAAUUGCGAAGGCAGGUUACUACUAAUGGAUUGACGCUGAUGGACGAAAGCGUGGGGAG
rnacentral:rRNA from 1 species